UCUCAUAAAGACCUACAAAUGUCGCGCUGCAACCCCUGACCUAACUCCAACAGGAAGUGAGCUGUCGGUCUUUGAAUGUAAGAUGGCGUUUUUCACAAAUUCUGUCGAUCAAAAAUUAUUUGCUCCUACACCGUUUAUCAUAACUGCUUCAAACUUGCACAAAUUACAGCUCUACCCCUGCUAAACAUUACUUGUGAAGGACUUUGUCAUAACUUGAAUGGUUUGGAUUUUAGAAGCGUUAGAAGGUGCAGGACACAACUCCUCAUGAUGAUCUCUGGAAGAAAAGAUGAGGGCCAACACACUGUAAACCUGUGAUUAAGGUGACAUUUUUCAGUCCAUAGACAUACAAGCUUUAUAUGUUUGCGUUCAGAACAAAUUUAUCUAUCUGGUGAUGUUUUUAGAUUGAAGAUGGGACCCACGGUUUGGCAUCUGGAAGCAUUUGUUUGAGAAAGUUUCAAGCCAUUCUGCUCUGUGUCUGAGCUGCAUGCAGUCCUUAAUUAGCAUAACAAAGGCUUCACUCUGACAGUCUGUGUGUCAGAGUGAAGUGUGUAUGUGUGUGGUCACACACACAUGAGGUUUUAAAUUACUUUAAAAAUGACCUUAAAAGUAUUUCCAUGUAUUUUAUCAAUUUUAUGUCUCUGAACCCAAGAGACUGACCUGGAG